ensembl:lncRNA
UGACAUAGAAGAUAUCACAAAUGUUACAUUAUAACUAUAUUUUAAACAAAUUUUAAAUAACAAUAGCAGUACUUUAUCUUCUGCAGUUUGCUUUUUUGCACUUAGAUGUAGAAUGGGAACUUCUUUGCAUGCUAAUAUAUGUAGAUUUGGGACUUCCCUGGUGGCUAAAAUGGUAAAGAAUCUGCCUGCAAUACAGGAGACCUGGGUUCAUCCCUGGGUCCCAAAGAUCCCCUGAAGAUGGAAAUGGCAACCCACUGCAGUAUUCUUGCCUGGAGAAUUCCAUGGACAGAGGAGCCUGAUGGGCUACAGUCCAUGGGGUCGAAAAGAAUUGGACACUGAGUGACUUUCAUAUAUAGAUUCAGUUCUUCCCUUUUUGCUUUCCUCCUCAUUUGUCUUCUGUCUUCCUUCCUUUUUUUUUUCUCUUUUGCCGGUUUGAAGUUUAAUUAAUGUUUAUGAAUGCUGCCACAUUAGAAUUGUUUACCGCUUCUUGCUUUUGUCAGUUGCAUCCCAGCUGACCUGCACCGACACUUACCAUGUGUGCCUCAGUGUUCCAGGUCCUUUGCAUGUAGUACCCCAUUUAAUCCUGCAGGAGCCCCGUGAGGUGAGAACUAUUACAAUUUCCAUUUUGCCUGUGUAGAAACCCAGAAACACAGCACUUUAGUAACUUGCCCUUCAAAACCAGGGAGGAGACAGAAAUGGGUAAAUAAGACCCUAGGUGCUAAGGUGUCUGCUGAAGACUAAACUCAUAGCCUAACAAGUUGAGUCAAGCUGUCUUUUAAAAUAGCCUGGGGGACAAACAAAAUACGGCCACAGGCUCUUUAAGGCCUGAGGGCUUCCAGGGCAAAGCUGCUGGAACAGAAAGCCUGCAGACAGGCAAAUGUGAUGCCUAGAUUCCAGGGGUGAUGCCUAGAAGUGGGGUUUGGGCACCAGAGCAUAGGGGAGCAGCAUCAUCUAGUCUUUACAUCCCUGCCAGUGGUGAAGAAAAUGUGUCUACCUCCUCCCACUUACAAAGUGGAAAGACAUUAUUCUACUAAUUCUUAAUUUUUUCCAGAGCUUCCCUGGUGACUCAGUGUCAAAGAAUCUGCCUGCCAGUACAGGAGACUGGGGUUCAAUCCCCGGGUUGGAAAGAUCCCCUGAAAAACGAAAUGGCAACCCACUCCAGAAUUCUUGCCUGGAAAAUUCCCACGGGCAGAGGAGCCUGGUGGGCUGUAGUCCAUGCCGUCACCAAAAAGUCAGACAUGACUUAGCUACUAAACAACAAUGACAAUUUUUGCUACAUGGCUGGCUCAACAGAAAAUGGCCCGGUGCAAAAUUAUAAUUUUGCCAGACCCUUGUUCAAAAGUGAGGAAUUCCAGGAGCAUCACAGCAGAGCAUUAACCGAAGCACAAGGCCCUUCAAGCUCAGCAACCUUGUAAAUGCACAGACCACACAUUCAGGAAGUUGGGCUGGCUCCCUCCACAGGUCAGCAAAGCCACUCUGCCCUCAUGCACCCUCCCUCUGCCCUCAUGCACCCUCCCUCUGCUGCCGCAACUUGCAUUUUCUACUGAAGGAUACAUCCUCAAGCUCUAACCAUAUUCUAAGUCCUCAUUUUAAAA